GACAAAGCUAACUUCUAUAAAGAAUACAUGUCGAUAUGACCAACAUUAGCAUAGUAGAAUAUCAGGAGAUAUUAUAAUUAAAAAAAGUUAUCCAGUCAUUAAUUUACAGAAUAGAUUAUCAAAUCUCAAAAUUCUUUUGGUAAUAGAACUUAUCAAUCAAAACUAAAACUCAUUUUUCAUAAAUGUGUGAUAAUAUAUUUAACCCUUAAUUUUAAAAUCUAUAAAAUAGAAAGUUUCAUACAAUCAGAAUAUUUUUCUAUAUUUUACGAAAAAGUAACGGAAAUCCGGUCGUUUACCUCAAAAGCAGUUUCUAA
rnacentral:lncRNA from 1 species